CAAUAGCGUAUAUUAAAGUUGUUGCAGUUAGAACGCUCGUAGUCGGAUUUCGGGGCGGGCCGACCGGUCUGCCGAUGGGUACGCACUGGUCGGCGCGUCCUUCCUUCCGGAGACCGUGCCUACUCUUAACUGAGCGGGGGCGGGAGACGGAAUUUUUACUUUGAAAAAAUCAGAGUGUUUCAAGCAGGCAGCUCGCUCUUGCAUGGAUUAGCAUGGGAUAAUGAAAUAGGACUUUGGUGCUAUUUUGUUGGUUUCGAACACCGAAGUAAUGAUGAGAAGGGACAGUCAGGGGCACUCGUAUUCCGCCGAGAGAGGUGAAAUUCUCAGACCAGCGGAAGACGAACCACUGCGAAAGCAUUUGCCAGGGAUGUUUNCACUGA
rnacentral:rRNA from 1 species